rnacentral:rRNA from 1 species
AUGGUGAUGAGAGGCGGCAAGAGCAGCGUCAAGACCAUGGCAGUGAUGCUUGCAGUUGUGGGUCUUGUGGCCCUGCAGCAAACACAGCGAGUGCAAGCUAGCGUGUGUUGCUGUUUAGACCUGGCGGUCCCUGUGUACUAUACAUGCCGCGGCUCUUCUGGUACCAUGUCACAGUGUUGCCCUACGUGUGGUGGCUAUGUAUCAGUCGGUGGAUGCAGGCCCCCAUAUGUCCCCAUAUCUGGCUACCGCACAACAGCCGUCAACUACUGCAAGCUGGGGUGCACGGCUUCCGUGUGCAACAAAUUAAUUCCAUCUGUUGUUGGCAGUGGCAACGAAGGAAAAGAUGCCAUGGAACGUUGUACCAGUGGAUGUCAUGAUCUGUGCACCAAGAGCAGCACUGACAUUGCAAAAGUCCACAAUGCUUAA